rnacentral:rRNA from 1 species
GGGACACUUAAAGCGUUAGCUUCGGCACAGAGAGGGUCGAUACUCCCUAUACCUAGUAUCCAUGGUUUACGGCGUGGACUACCAGGGUAUCUAAUCCUGUUUGCUCCCCACGCUUUGGGGCCUCAGCGUCAGAAACAGCCCAGAAGGCCGCCUUCGCCACUGGUGUUCCUCCCGAUAUUUACGCAUUUCACCACUACACCGGGAAUUCCACCUCCCUCUGCUGCCCUCCAGCCCAACAGUAUCGAAUGGUCCCUCCCAGUUAAGCCGGGAGAUUUUACAUCCGACUUGAAAGACCGCCUACGCCCGCUUUACGCCCAAUAAAUCCGGAUAACGCUGCCCUCAUACGUAUUACCGCGGCUGCUGGCACGUAGUAAGCCGAGACUUAUUCCUCAGG